UCCCUAAGAAUCAUUUAUGCAUUUAGCUUCAUUAGAUAGUUUAUUAGACCAUAACUUAUAUCCCGAAGUGUCAUUUAUGCCUUUUACUUCAUAAGAUACAAUUCUAAACUAUCGAGUCAGAGCUCGUUGUCACAUACUACCAGUACCUUAGUAGGAGUUCUAACUAUCGAUCUGGCGUUCUGACAGCGGACACCUUACCAAAUUCCUCCUAAUUUGCGUUUGAUUUUAUCCACUAUUGUAGAUCUCAAUUUCCAACUAAAGUUGUCUUAUACAUUUCGAAGAAAAAGUUUACAUUACCCAGAAGAAUUGGUUUACGAUCAAAAAAUGAGCUCUGCAGUUUUUUUUGCCGUUUUGUUUGGAGUCACAGCUGCGACUUGUUUAAUGCUUGAGAUAUCAGCGCAGGCGGCAUCGGAUGAUACCUACAGGGGCUCUGAUGAGGACUUGCACAAGCGGAGAAUAAUGAGGAAUUACGGGGCCAUGAUGGGCUACAAAAGAGAUUCAGAGGAGUACCCAGUGGAAGUUGAAGACAACGAGGCAGGGGAAGACGUGGAAGACGAAGAUAAGAAGACAGGAGGGCUGUCUAGUUUGGACGAGUGAAUAGUUCAGUGAUUUUCUUUCCCUCAUUAGCACACACUUUUAUUUAACUCCAAUAACAUUUGGAUGGACAAAAUGUUUUUAUAGCAAUCUUUGUUGACUGCAAAUUUGAAAAUUUAAAACCUU